CGUGAACCAUCGAGUCUUUGAACGCAAGUUGCGCCCGAGGCCAUCAGGCUAAGGGCACGCCUGCCUGGGCGUUGCGUGCUGCAUCUCUCUCCCAUUGCUAAGGCUGAACAGGCAUACUGUUCGGCCGGCGCGGAUGAGUGUUUGGCCCCUUGUUCUUCGGUGCGAUGGGU
rnacentral:rRNA from 1 species